rnacentral:lncRNA from 1 species
UGGUCCCUGGAGGGGCUUCUAAGCCCUCUGCCUGUUGGUUUCUUUCUGGGGUUUCAUGGUUACCAGGAUAUGAUGAUCUCAGAAAGGGCCCAGUAGAUACUCAGGAUGCUGUCCUGUUAGUACCACACAAAGGCUGCAGGCUAGGAUCCUCAGGUCACAGCUCCAAGUGCUCAGCGUGGGCUACAGUUACUGAGCAGCCGUGGAAGGACUGAGGGCACUUCAGGUGCUCAUAUGUUCUGAGACCUUAGGUGCCUACCUUAACCCGAAACCCAAUGUUCUCUGAUCACCUUACCUUUGUUGGGCUGUGCCCUAUCUGGAAGGCUGGUUUCUUUCAGACAGCCCCGAAGACGCCUCCCCCUUUUCCACGGUCCUUGUAUGCUCUUGAUCUCCAGAGAGUCCUGAGACAUGACACCCAGAUGGCCUUGAGGAGCCUGAAGUGGUGACACUCAAUGACCCAUGCUCAUUACAGGGCCUGAGUAGAACUCAGAGUCAUAGAGCCAGCCACACCCAUGAGAGAUUCUCAUUUCUGUAUUUUUAACCUGGGCUUCUGGCCCUUACCCACCUAGUCUGUUCUCCACUUGCAGCCCCAAAGCACCCUGCGUAGGACUAGAGGAUCCUACAGAACCUGGAUGAAUGUGUCUGGGGUUUCACAGGCAUUCCUGGAGUGGCCUUGGGAUUAUUACCCUGUCAUCCAGGACUCUGCCCAGUCCUUUCAUCUCCUACCCAGGACCUAGCCCACAAAGAGGGCACUAGGUGGGCUGGGUCCUUGAGGUCUUCUAGGAAUUCCCAGCUCCAGAGGUUGAAGCUCUUGGAGGAAAGGCACACCCAUGGGGCGCUCAGUACUGGACAUGGACUUUCUGCUCCUAGAAGGCUGCUGAGCGUAAGCACCCCUGCCCAAGCUGAGGACCCUCUCCUUUCUUAGGAGUCAGAUCUCGUCUCUUGUUACUUCCAGAUGGACAGUGGUGUCCAGAAAGUCAGCAUGAAUGGGCUGCCUGGCGACUCUAGUCUAUCUGUGUGCUAUGAUGUGGUGCUGCCAUGGAUCCUCAUCCCAGUGUAGUGUCAGUGACAGGAAGUGGACAGGAUGCACGCUGUCAUAAGACUCCUUCAGAGCCUCCAGACGGUGCUGUCUGAAGGCCUCCCUGCCCACUAUAAAGGAGGAAGAACAGCCUUGCUAGAGCUCCAUGCUCCUGGUGACUCCAACCUUUGAGGAUCUGUGUAGAUGUCAAGAUGGGAGACUGCUCUGAAAGCCACCCUUCCUCCCAUCUAGAUAGCAAAUCACCUGUCCAUGCUAUGGCCCUGACCUCCUCUCUUGCCUCUGGGGCAGGGGGGACUUCUCUCUAUGCGCCCCUGUUUAAAGCUGGUUCUGUUGAGCACAGCUGGCAAGUGAAUAGAAGUUAUCCCUGAGUCUGGAGCCUACAGCCUCUCUUCCCUCAGCCAGUGUGAGUUUACCUGCCAACACAGUGCCCACCACUGCUGCAAGCUCUCUCAACAAUCCUACAGACUCCUUCCAUCGCUAAGCACUCACUUCCUCACUCCUACCCAGUUCACCUGGCCACUCCUGAGUGGGAGCACCCUCAGCAGCCUCUCAGGCA